AGUGAAGCAUUUUCUCAAACAGAUAGAUAUCUCUACUGAGCAUGUGUUGAAUAAAUGUCAUCACUCUGGAUUAUUUGUAAUUGGAGAAAUGUAGUGUUACAAAUUGUCCCCUGUGGUAAUUGCCCCCAGUCUCUCAUAUGCUUCAUUUUCUGGAUUAAUGACACACAAAGAUAAACAUGCAUACACAAAUUGUUUAAGUGUGUUUUGACUUUUCCCAGCUUGGGAAUCUCAGAGCCAUGCGGUGAUGCUGCUGCGUUAUCUUCUGCUCUCAGAGAAGAAAGAACGUCAUACUGGUUUGGAACAUCAUAAAGAGAGUGUGGAUUCCCCUCAGCUCUCUCCUGGAUAAACACUGUUACAGGCUGAUGCUGAGGAGCUCAAAGUUGAGUCAAUAUUAUCCAGAGCAAUAAAGUCCUGCACAGUGCGCUCUGCUCCCCCUGUGAGACCGAGAUGAGUUCAUCUCUAAACUGCUGAGGUCUAGGAGGACCUGGACUCUGUUUAUGAGCAGUAAAGUUCGAGUCUGUACAAACGUUCCAAAUGUUUCUAAUCCAGACUAGUGUCGGUAACAUUUUACUUCUUCAAAUUCCAUAAACCCUUAAUGGUUCAA
ensembl:lncRNA